AUCAUUAUUUUAAAGAUAACUUUAAAGUAAGGGAAAAGUCUUUUAUAUUUAUCCCCAUAUUUGCCAUUUCUAGUGCUCCUCAUUUCUUUGUAUAGAUCCAUAUUUACAGUCGGUUAUCAUUUAGCUUGUGCCUGAAGAGCUUCCUUUUUCUGUUUUUCAGCGGGUGUACUGGUGAUGAAUUCUCUCAGCUUUUCUGUGUCUACAAAUGUCUUUAUUUUGACUCCAUUUUUAAAAGAUUUUUGCUGGGUCUAGGAUUCUACGUUAAUGGUUUUAUCUUGCAGUAGUUUAAGGAUAUUCUGUGUGCACUCUGGCACCGCUCCUGUCACCCUUGCUUUUGUUUCUCUGUAUUUGUAUCUCGUUUCUCUGGCUCCUUUUAAUAUUUUCCUUUUUUUAAUGUUUUUAUUUAUUGUUGAGGGAGAGAGUAUGAGUAGGUGAGGGACAGAGAGAGAGGGGGACAGAGGAUCUAAAGCAGGCUCUGCUUUAGAGCAGAGGGAUUCUCUGGCUAAAAGCAACAAUCCCAUGCUGGGCUCGAACUGACCAACCAUGAGAUCAUGACCUGAGCCGAAGUUGGACGCUCAACUGACUGAGCCCCCCAGGUGCCCCUGCUUGUAUUAUUUCCUUUUUGUUACUGGUCCUCAACAAUUGCAUUUUGAUUUGAAUUGCUGUGUUUUAUUUCAUUUUUCUCUUGCUUGGGAUUUUUUUAGUUGCUUGGAUCUGUGAGUUUAUACUUCUCAUCAUAAAUAGAAAAAUUUGGGUUAUGAUUUCUUCAUAUAUGCAUUCCAUUCAUCAAUCUUUCUCCUCCCCUUUGAGACUCUAAGGACACAUACGUUAGGCUGCAUGGUGUCCUGCAGUUCAGUGAUGCUUCGUUCUUUUUUACCCCAGUCUUCUAUCUUUCUGUGUUUCAUUUUGAAUAAUUUCUAUUGUUGUGUCUCCAAGUUUCCUAAUCUUUUUUUUUUUUUAAGUAAUCUCCAACACCCAACGUGGGGCUCAAACUCACGACCCUGAGAUCAAGAGUGGCAUACUGUACUGACUGAGCCAGCUGAGCACCCUAAACUUACUAACAUUUUAUUCAGCAGUGUCCAAUCUGCUGUUAAUCUCAUUCAGAGUAUCGUUCAUUUUAAGCAUUGCUUCUUUUUUCAUCUCCAGAAGUUUGAUUUGGGUCCUUUUAAGAUCUUACAUACCUCUUAUCGUGCUCACACUUUCCUCUAACUUUUUGAAGAUAUGGAGUUGUAUUAUAAUAGCUGUUUUAAUGUUCCUAAUUAAUUUAACUAAUUCUGUCACCUGUGUCAUUUCUGGGGCUGUUUCUAUUAAUUUUUUUUUCAUUAUAGGCUGUAUUUGCCUGCUUGCUGGAAUGCCUUCUAAUUUUUUAUUGCAUGCCAUUGUGCUGUGGUUUUCUUGUAUAAACAUUUUUGGGCUUUGUUCUGGGAUACAUUUAUGUUACUUGGAAACAGUUUGAGCCUUUCAAGUCUCACGUUUAAGCUUUGUUGGGCAGGUCCAGAAGAGCCCUUCAUUUACGGCUUAUUGGCCCAACUGCUAAGGUGAUAACCUUCUGAAGACUCUACUCGAUGCCCUACAUAUGAGGUCUUUCCACUCUAUCUGGUUGGAACACAAAUUAUUCCUGACGCUGUGUGACUCCCAAGUUUUGUUGUGCUUCUUCUUUUCCAGUGAUUUUUUUUUCCUCUGGCCCUGGUAGUUUUCUCACAUGCCUGUACCGAUCAGUACUCAGCUGAAGACUCAAGAGGUACUCUCCCAAGCUCUUCUUCUGUGCAGCUCUCUCCUCUGGUUUUCAACCUGAAAUUCUGAUGUUUUCACCUCCCAGAUCUUCCAACUCUGUUUCCUCUGCUCAGAGAGGUGACCGAGCUUUGCUUGGGUUCCUCCUCCCUAUGCUGCAGCCUGAAAAGAUCUGCAGCCAGAGCAAUUAUAGGAAUCACCUUGUUUAUUUCCUUCUCUGAAAAAUCUCUGUCCUGCACUGCCUGCUCUUUGAUCCCUGAAAACUAUGACUUCAUACAUUUUGUCCAGUUUCUAAAUUAUUUUAGGUGAGAGACUAAUUCUGGUCUCUGGUGAUAGCAGAUAUCAUACCAUAUAUUUUUUUUAUUUCCUAAUUUACGUUUUUUGAAUCAUUUCUCAAGAUGGAGGAAGCUAAUAAAGUGGGAAAGGCAAAAAAGCCUGAAAUGAACAAUUAAGAAACGCAAGAAACAAUCACGAUACUUUGACAAAAUGUAGUACUAGCUAAUAACUAAAUACCCAAAGCCUUUUAGAAAACAUGUCAAAAACCCUUUUAAUCAUUACCAUAUCUCAACUUUACAGCUUCAAGUAUUAAACAGACUCUAGCACUGGCAGCUUUUUGAAAACCCACCCUUCACUGCAAUUUUACCUGUGCCUCCUGAAAUACAGUCAACACAAUGCUGUGCUUUGGCUACUUGUGUUUUUUAAGAAUAAACCAAAAUCAGCAGUUUUAAUCAACCACAUUGGACCAGAUUGGGAGAGAAAGACUAAUGUGUUCCAAUUGCCUCGUUCCUCUUUAUGACCAAGCAGGAAGUUUCAGAGCAAACCUCCACCUCUCAGGAAGUUUACGUCAAAAUGAGUAUUGACAUCCUGUUUAAUAGAGUCUUAAAUUUUUUCCUCACUUCCAGACACUCACCAUUUGAAUUAAAAUGUUUGAGUAAUCUGUCCUGAAAUUGUUUCCUUUGACUCUCAGAAGACUAUGUCUAAGUGACAAAUGGAAUAUCUCUAUGACUAAUAAUGAUAAAAGUUAAAGGUUUUUUUUUAGUAGUCAUGGAAAACUGUCCCUUGAGCUUCAAACUACUGUUGCUCUCCAGAGACAAUAAACACCACACAUCUGUAGAAAAGUGGAUGUACUAAAUAAAGUGAGUAAAAAUCUUUAUAUAUAUUAUUUUGCUCUGUUCCUUUCCUAUAGGUGAUCUAAAAGGAAAUAUUUUCAUAUAUAAACAUUUACAGAACUCCCCCUGUCCCAAGUACGGGGAGCAGGGUGCAGGGGGAGGGAUACAAAGACAAAUAGCACAAGGUUUCUGUGCUUAGGGAGUUCGUGUGGGUUUUUUUGUUUGUUUCAAGUUUUUAUUUAAAUUCCAGUUAGUUAACAUACAGUGUAACAUUAGUUUCAGGAGUAGAAUUUAGUGAUUCAUCACUUACCUAUAACACCCAGUGCUCAUCAUAACGUGUCCUCCUUAAUCCCCAUCACUCAUUUAGCCCUUCCCCCCACCCACAUCCCCUCCAACAACCCUUAGUUGUUCUCUAUAGUUAAGAGUCUGUUUUAUGGUCUGUCCCUCUCUUUUUCCCCCCAUGUUCAUCUGUUUUGCUUUUAAAUUCCACAUAUGAGUGAAAUCAUAUGGUAUUUGUCUUUCUCUGACUGACUUAUUUUGCUUAGCAUAAUAGUCUCUGGCUCCAUCCACAUCAUUGCAAAUGGCAAGAUUUCAUUCUUUUUGAUGGCUUCAUAAUAUGCCAUUGCAUAUAUGUACCACAUCUUCUUUGUCCACUCAUCAGUCGAUGGCUCUUUCUAUAAUUUAGCUAUUGUUGAUAGUGCUGCUAUAAACAUCUGGGUGCAUGUAUUACUUUGAAUCAGUAUUUUUGUAUCCUUUAGGUAAAUACCUAGUAGUGCAAUUGCUGGGCCCUAGGGUAGUUCUAUUUUUAACUUUUGGAAGAACCUCCAUACUAUUUUCCAGAGUUAGGGAGUUUAUGUUCUAAUGAACACAUCUACCUACCUUAUAAGGGAAUAAAUAGUCUUUGCAUUUUUUAAUUGAAAUAUAGUUGACAUGCAAUAUUAUAUUAGUUUUAGGUGUACAACAUAAUGAUUCAACAAGUCUAUACAUUACUCAGUGCUCACCACAAUUAUUCACCAUCCCUGUCACCAUACAGUGUUACAACAAUAUAGUUGACUAUAUUCCCUAUGCCGUACUUUUCAUCUCCAUGACUUAUUUAUUUUAUAACUGGAAUUUUGUACCUCUGAUCCCCUUCACCUAUUUCUCCGUCCCCUCACUACCCCUCCGCUCUGGUAACCACCAGUUUGUUCUCUGUACUUAUGAGUUUGUUGCUGUUUUUGUUUUUUAGAUUCCACAUACAAGUGAAAUCAUAUGAUAUUUGUCUUUUUCUGUCUGACUUAUUUCACCUCCAAGAUCUAUCCAUGUUGUUGUGAAUGGCAAGAUAUCAUUGUUUUUCUAUGAAUGAGCAAUAUUCCAUUGUAUAUAUUUAUCACAUCUUCUUUAUCCAUUCAUCUAUGAUGGAUACUUAGGUUACUUCCAUAUUGAGGCUAUUAUAAAUAACAAUUUGGGGCGCCUGGGUGGCUCAGUCGGUUGAGCGUCCGACUUCGGCUCAGGUCAUGAUCUCACGGUCCGUGAGUUUGAGCCCCGCGUCAGGCUCUGUGCUGACAGCUCAGAGCCUGGAGCCUGCUUCAGAUUCUGUGUCUCCCUCUCUCUCUGCCCCUCCCUUGCUUAUGCUCUCUCUCUCUGUCAAGAAUAAAUAAAACAUUUAAAAAAAAAACAAACAAAAGUAAGUAAAUAAAUAAAUAACAUAAUUUAUGCAAUAAACAUAGGAGUGCAUAUAUCUUUUCUAAAUAAUGGUACUAUUUUCUUUAGGUAAAUACCUAGAAGUGGAAUUACUGGGUUUUAUGGUAUUUCUAUUUUACAUUUUGUGAGGAAACUCCAUACUAUUUUCCAUAGUGACUGCACCAAUUAACAUACCCACCAAUAGUGCAUGAGAGCUCCCUUUUCUCUACAUCUUCACCAACACUUGUUAUUUCUUGUCUUUUUGAUACUAGCCAUUCUGACUGGUGUGAGGUGAUAUCUCAUUGUGGUUUUGAUUUGGAUUUCCCUGUAAUGAGUGAUAUUGAGCAAAUUUUCAUGUGUCUGUUUGCCAUCUGUAUGUCUUCUUUGGAGAAAUGUCCAUUCAGGUCUCCUCUGCCCAUUUUUAAUCAGAUUAUUUGGGGGUUUUUUUGGUGUUGGGUUAUAUGAGUUCUUUAUAUAUUUUGGAUAUUAACCCCUUAGAUGAUAUAUACUUUGCAAAUAUCUUCUCCCUUUCUGUAGAUUGUAUCAUUUUGUUGAUGGUUUCCUUCAUUCUGCAAAAAUCUCUUACCUUGAUGUGGUCCCACCUGUUUAUUUUUACUUUUUUGUUUUUGUCUCCUUUGCUUGAGGAAACAUCCAGAAAAAUAUUGCUAGGGCUGAUGUCCAAGAGAUUACCACCUAUGUUUUCUUUUAGGGGUUUUAUGGUUUCAGGUCUUACAUUUAGGUUUUUAAUCCAUUUUGAGUUUAUUUUUGUGUAUGGUAUAAGAAAGUGGUCUAGUUUUAUUCUUUUGCAUGUAGUUGUUCAAUUUCCCCAGCACCAUUUAUUGAAGAGACAAUCUUUUCCCCCAUUUUAUAUUCUUACCUCCUUUGUCAUAGAUUAAUUGAUUGUAUAAGCAUGGAUUUCUUGCUCUAUUCUGUUCCAUUGAUCUAUAUUUCUAUUUAUGUGCCAGUACCAUACUGUUUUGAAUAUGAUAGCUUUGCAUUUUAAUUUAUUUUUAAUUUGUUUUUGUUUUUUAUUUUUGAGAGAGAGAGUGCAAGAGCAUGAGCAGGAGAGAGGGGCAGAGGGAGAGAGAAUCUCAAGCAGACUCCAAGCUCAGCACAGAUCCUGACAUGGGCCUCAGUCCCACAACCCUGGGAUCAUGACCUGAGCCAAAAUCAAAAGUCAAAUGCUCAACCAACUGAGCCACCCAGGAGCCCUUAUAUAUUUUUUUCUUUUUCUUUUUUUUCCCCUGUAUUUUAAUUUAAAACAUAAUGCUGUAAGUGCUAGAGUUAUUUAAAUUUUUUCUUGUUGAAAUAUGAGAUGUUAUAAACUAAGAAAAAAAAACUUGAAAAAUCUGACCAAAUGCAGAGACAUCCAGAUGCCUAAAGAAAGGAUUUUUUAUAUAUUUUUAUAUUUUUCAUAGAGGAUAAUUAUUAGAAAUGUCUAUGGCAUCUUAACACAUCAAGUGUCUUCCUCUGUAUGCAUGUCAUUAACACUUGUUAUUAGGAUUGAAGGUGCUAGAGAGAAAAUUUGCUAAUAUAGACAAAAUGAAACCAAUAAUUUGGAAGGGAUUAUUACAAUUAUUAUCCUAUCAAGUUUUAAUCAUUUAAUAUCAACUGGAAGUCUACCAUGGGCAAGUUUUCCAAAGAGGAGAACCAUUUCCAAAAAUCAUUCUCAUUAUUGACAUUAAAAGGCACUUUUAAAUUAAUCUGUGUUCAAUAUUUAUAUUUUCCUAUAUUAUGGAAACAGACUAUACCCUCCACAAAGGCUCGAGGGCACCAAUACAAAACCAGUAUCUGAGGAGUUGAACCUGCCACACAAACCAGCCCAGAACAAGACCAUCUCCAGAUGAGGCUGUCCCCUGCUGUACCUCACUGAAGUGAUUGAUAGUUGAAGAAUUGUAAGGAAGAAGAGAGGGGUCAAAAGACCAUAAAGACAGAGCAACAUGAUUUUCAGCAAGGGAAGAAAGGUAGAUUCUGCAUACUGUAUUCUGACAAAUUUAACAUUAGUACCAGGAAAAAGUUGAGAAUGGGUUUCCAUAAAUGAUUUGAGUGCACUUACAGGAUAGGACAGGGAUCAUUUGGAGCCAGCAUGCGUUUACUGAAAGCAGGGUAAACCACACUAACUUUAUUUCUUUUUCAGAUAAUAUUGGUAGAUUAGUGGUAAAGGAGAAUGCUAUAUGAAGAGUAUAGAACAUUGAACUCUUUGUAGACAUGAUGAAAAACUAUGGAUCAGAUUAUAAUGCAGUUAGAUCUUGCCUGAAGACUUUGGCUCCAAAAAGCAGAUAAAUGUUUUCUUGGACAAGUCCUUCAUUUAUGCUGUAGGGAUCGGUCAUGGUCUCUAUUGCACUUCACAUUUAAUUAAUGGUUUGAUAGAAACUCACAUGUAUUUGGUUUGAAUAGAUCAUAUGUAGUUAAGAGUUACUAAUUUGUUCAUUGACACUAAAAAGUUAUUUGAUAAACCAUUGUAAAUGCCAGCAUUUCUGUUAAAAAUUGACUCUACAAGUAUAGUUCAGGUAAACAGGUCCUUCAGCAGUAUCUGAAGCAGUAUCUAGAAGGACAAGAAUUUUAGUAAACUACAACCUUGGGCUUUAUUAAUGAAAAUUCAGUGUGUAGAACCAGAGAGACAUUGGCCCCGUCUAUUCUUGUUUGGUCAAACAACAUCAUAUUUUCAAAACAGCAUUGAGGGGUGCGCCUGGGUGGCUCAGUCGGUUAUGCAUCUGACUCUUGAUUUGAGCUCAGGUCAUGAUCUCGCAGUUUGUGCAGUCAAGCUUCGUGUUGGGCUCUGUGCUGACAGUGUGGAGUUUGGGAUUCUCUCUCUCCCUCUCUCUCUGUCCCACCCCCACUUACACUCUGUCUUUCUCAAAAUAAAUAAAUAAAAAUUGUAAAAAAGCAUUGCUAAGCCAAAAGUAUCAAAGGAGGCCAACCAGGGUAAUAGGAAUUUGAACCUAUGUCUUAUGAAACCGCUGAAGAUAUGGUUUUGUCAAGGGGAGAGGGAUCAAUAUAUUUUCAGAUAUCUGAAAGAGAGUUAUGUGGCAGAUAUUAAACUUGGUAUUUGUGACUUUAGAGAACAAAGCCAGGAUCAAUAUAUAGAAACUACAUGUAAACAAAGCUUAGCUCAAUAUGAGAACUUUCUAGCCAUUAGAGUUGUAGGCUACUUUGGGAGGGUGUGGUAGAGAGAAUAAUGGUAUCCACAUCUUCAACCCUGAAACCCCUGAAUAUGUUGCUGUAUAUGCCAAAAGGCCAUCUACUUUGUAGAUGUGAUUAAUUUAAGAAUCUUAAUUUAAGGAGAUUACCUGAUAUUGUAAUAACAGUGGUUUUU